CAGCAAUCCCUGGAGGACAAGCCACCUACCUUGGCCAACCUGUCCCAUGGGGCACCCUCCCAAUCAUCUUGGCCAUUGAAUUCCUUGCCAUCUCCUUCGUCGAGCACCAGCGCAGCAUGGAAAAGGACCCUGAGAAGAAGAAGUACCCCGGUGGAGCUUUCGACCCAUUGGGAUACUCCAAAGACCCAGUCAAGUUUGAGGAGAACAAGGUCAAAGAAGUAAAAAAUGGCCGGCUUGCCUUGUUG
rnacentral:misc_RNA from 1 species